rnacentral:pre_miRNA from 1 species
GUAGUACUCCCUUCGUCCGAAAAUACUUGUCAUAGAAAUGGAUAAAAUGGAUGUAUCUAUAACUAAAAUAAGUCUAGAUACAACCAUUUCGAGAACAAGUAUUUUCGGAUGGAGGGAGUACCAG